CAGCAGGCGCGAAAACUUUGCAAUGCGGGAAACCGUGACAAGGGAACUCUGAGUGCCCGUUAAAUCGGGCUGUCCAUCGGUUUAAAUAACCGGUGAAGAAAGGGCCGGGCAAGACCGGUGCCAGCCGCCGCGGUAAUACCGGCGGCUCGAGUGGUGGCCACUAUUACUGGGCUUAAAGCGUUCGUAGCUGGUUUGUUAAGUCUCUGGGGAAAUCUUCCGGCUUAACCGGAAGGCGUCUCAGGGAUACUGGCAGACUAGGGACCGGGAGAGGUGAGAGGUACUCCAGGGGUAGGAGUGAAAUCCUGUAAUCCUUGGGGGACCACCUGUGGCGAAGGCGUCUCACCAGAACGGCUCCGACAGUGAGGGACGAAAGCUGGGGGAGCAAACCGGAUUAGAUACCCGGGUAGUCCCAGCUGUAAACGAUGCGCGUUAGGUGUAUCGGUGACCACGAGUCACCGAGGUGCCGAAGAGAAAUCGUGAAACGUGCCGCCUGGGAAGUACGGUCGCAAGGCUGAAACUUAAAGGAAUUGGCGGGGGAGCAC
rnacentral:rRNA from 1 species